AUUGAACGCUGGCGGCAGGCCUAACACAUGCAAGUCGAGCGGAUGAAGGGAGCUUGCUCCUGGACUCAGCGGCGGACGGGUGAGUAAUGCCUAGGAAUCUGCCUGGUAGUGGGGGAUAACGUCCGGAAACGGGCGCUAAUACCGCAUACGUCCUGAGGGAGAAAGUGGGGGAUCUUCGGACCUCACGCUAUCAGAUGAGCCUAGGUCGGAUUAGCUAGUUGGUGGGGUAAAGGCCUACCAAGGAGACGAUCCGUAACUGGUCUGAGCGGAUGAUCAGUCACACUGGAACUGAGACACGGUCCAGACUCCUACGGGAGGCAGCAGUGGGGAAUAUUGGACAAUGGGCGAAAGCCUGAUCCAGCCAUGCCGCGUGUGUGAAGAAGGUCUUCGGAUUGUAAAGCACUUUAAGUUGGGAGGAAGGGCAGUAAGUUAAUACCUUGCUGUUUUGACGUUACCAACAGAAUAAGCACCGGCUAACUUCGUG
rnacentral:rRNA from 1 species